AGUAUAUUUCUCGUUACGAUAAGCAAAGAAAACUACAUUUUGAGUCAUUUUGCAUUACAUUAAUUUAUGGCGUCCGCCAUUUUUGGGUCCUAAGGGCUCCAUUCAGCCUAAGAUGGCUGAGCCAUAGAAUAAUAAGGCUACGCCUAUAGAAAGGACACUCUCGCAGAUUUCGUGACGAAGAAGAAGAACAGGGACCUGGAGCUCUUGAGCUGGAGCUGGCGGGUAUUGUUUACAUUCAGAAAUGAAAAUGGCGGCAAUAGCCAACUGUAACACACUAACUGUAGCUGAUCACAUGUGUUUUUAUCAGUUAUCUGGCCAGUAUGAGCACGACGAGGCUGUGGAAAUCGUUUUCGUUACAUUAAUUUUGAUACUUAAACUCUUUUACUCUGUGGCAGUGACUUUUACACUUACAAAACAUUAGACUCUUCUUUGGCACCACUGAUUACAUUUGGCAACCCUGCAAUUAGCUGGGCCCUACUAUUACAUUUGACAACUUUGCAAAGAGCUGGCGGGUUCAGAAAAGUAUAGGGCAACGGGACCUAACCAAACCUGGACACAACAGGCGAGAGUCACAACGGCAGCUUACGCGAGUGUCCGUUCUAUAGGCGUUAGCUUUAUUAUUCUAUGGCUGAGCCAAUCAGAGGUGGUAACUCGGUAACUCCAGUGGCCAUAUUCUCUUAAUAUAGGUACUCUACCCAAUCUAUGCCACCCAAUUGCCACCACUCAUCGCAUGCGAAUUUUUAAAAGUUGUCUCGCCUUCCGGAACACAGGAUGCACGGUCUACGUGAUACCCUUUGGUCUUGGUCUUUAGUUAUGGCAUGUCAUCAAGGUACACUCUACUACAGGAGCAGGUCUAUACGUCUGGCCCCCGGUGUUAAGUAAACAUUUUGAAAAACUACCCAGAGCAGGAAAGGGUGUGGCUCCUGAUUCAUCUGAGACUGCUGGUCCAAAAAAUCCUUCAGAAGCAACUACUUAAUGAGAGAGCAAUUCAAAAUCAAAGAACGUGAACUCUCAACCAGCUGCCUCAGUUGCAUUUCAACAGGGAUGUCUAAGCCAUCAAAGAAUUCACCCUCAUCAGUAUCUCAGUGGGCGGCGAAAUCCCCACUGUCACCGGCUCUUGCAGUUUCAAUUGCAUUAGGAAUUGGAGUCCUUGCUUGGAUGUUUGCGUUAAAGCCACUCGCAGAGAAUUCAAGAAUGUACAGAAACGAGCAAGAAGCUGAGAUAUUACUCCUGGCCUCUCAAAAACCAAAGCCUGAAAUUGUGGAUCAUUUUCGUUCCUAAAAACACGAAAUUUAUGGGUUUUUUUUUUCUUUCUAUCUAGUAAAUUUAUAGAGUACCUAGUUAUGAUAUUUUGUUUUGAGUUUUUAUUGUCUUUUGUGCCUAAACAAAGAGCACGUAGAGCUUGAAUUUUUUUAAUCGUUUACGUGACAAGAGACUUUCAUCUUUGCAAUGGACUUAUUCUGGCACAUGCACGAGGCAAAAGAAAUAAACAAAUGAGAAAUACAAGCACGCCAAUGUUUUCCCUCUCGUCAGUAAGACUUCAUUCUCUAAAUUAAAAUUUUAUCAAGAAACCAAAACCAACUAUCUAAUUGAUGGCUAAAGAGCAGAACUACGUAUCUCCGUUUGCAACAUUGCAGCCUUCCUUUUCACCAUAACUGGGUGAGGGAAGACCAGAGCAAUGAGAUUCACGAUACAUACUUUAUUAGACACUAGCUGGCCCCCCGCGCUCCGCACGGGCAAUAGGUACUCACUUUCUCAAAUACUAAAUUCAGUUCGUUUGUAAAAUUUUUAUUAAUAGGUAUCAAUGAAAAUCGUUUCAUGGAAAUCGACUAAAAGAAUUUAGAUGCUGCUUUAUUUUAUUUAUGCUACAGAUUUUUACAAGUUUUCAAUUUUCUCAACAAUAGAAGUUUCCAUCAAUUCUAAUGAUUUCGUUUCGUUGUAAUCUUUAUAUUUCUUGCAUUAAGAAUUUUAUACAAUUUUUCUCCCUGUACUUCCGGCAUAUUCGAAUUCCAUGCAGUAUUUUAUGCCAAAAAAAUUCAGAAAAAUUGACACAAAUAUUUGUAACAGUUAAAUGAAACAGGGUUGAACCAAAUAAAUUAAUAGAAAUAAAAAAAAAAAAUAAAAAAAAAAUAAAAAAAAAACUCCAAGAGGAAUGAAAAGAACGUUUUAGUAUAUGAAAGAAAGGUUAUAAAAAAU
rnacentral:lncRNA from 1 species